rnacentral:rRNA from 1 species
UACGUAGGGGGCUAGCGUUGUCCGGAAUCAUUGGGCGUAAAGAGCGUGUAGGCGGCCAGGUAGGUCUGCUGUGAAAACUCGAGGCUUAACCUCGAGCUGUCGGCGGAAACCCAUCUGGCUAGAGUCCGGAAGAGGAGAAUGGAAUUCCCGGUGUAGCGGUGAAAUGCGCAGAUAUCGGGAAGAACACCCGUGGCGAAGGCGGUUCUCUGGGACGGUACUGACGCUGAGACGCGAAAGCGUGGGGAGCGAACAGG